rnacentral:rRNA from 1 species
GAUGAACGCUGGCGGCGUGCCUAAUACAUGCAAGUCGAGCGAACAGACGAGGAGCUUGCUCCUCUGACGUUAGCGGCGGACGGGUGAGUAACACGUGGGUAACCUACCUAUAAGACUGGGAUAACUUCGGGAAACCGGAGCUAAUACCGGAUAAUAUAUUGAACCGCAUGGUUCAAUAGUGAAAGACGGUUUUGCUGUCACUUAUAGAUGGACCUGCGCCGCAUUAGCUAGUUGGUAAGGUAACGGCUUACCAAGGCAACGAUGCGUAGCCGACCUGAGAGGGUGAUCGGCCACACUGGAACUGAGACACGGUCCAGACUCCUACGGGAGGCAGCAGUAGGGAAUCUUCCGCAAUGGGCGAAAGCCUGACGGAGCAACGCCGCGUGAGUGAUGAAGGUCUUCGGAUCGUAAAACUCUGUUAUUAGGGAAGAACAAACGUGUAAGUAACUAUGCACGUCUUGACGGUACCUAAUCAGAAAGCCACGGCUAACUACGUG